rnacentral:snRNA from 1 species
GGCCAGGCUGAUUUGACUGACUGUGUGAGUGUCCCCUUCCUUCUUCACUCUCCCACAUGUGCUUCUCCCGAAGCUACACUUUAGUUGGAGUGUAUGAUGUCCCCAAUGGAGAACUGUUUGUUCCUAAGCCAAGGAUGUGCCUUCUAGUACUUUCAAAGAAGAUUUCUUGGUAAACCUCCAAGAACUCAGGAAACGUGUGGCAAGUAGGCAGGGUCACAGAGUGAGUCGCCAUGUCCCUAGGAUCAGAGGCUGCUUUCCCU